rnacentral:rRNA from 1 species
UCUUUCUGAAAUUUUUAGAAAGUCUAACCUGCCCACUGAUGAUUUUAACGGCCGCAGUAUUCUAACUGUGCAAAGGUAGCAUAAUAAUUAGUCUUUUAAUUGAAGGCUGGAAUGAAUGGUUGGACGAAAUAUAAACUGUUUCAUUUAAAUUUAUUGUAGAAUUUUAUUUUUUAGUGAAAAAGCUAAAAUUUUUUUAAAAGACGGGAAGACCCUAUAAAGCUUUAUAUAAUUUAUUUUUAAAUAGUUUUAGAUAUUUUAUUGGUUGAAUAUAAAUUAUAUUUUAUUGGGGUGAUAUUAAAAUUUAAAAAACUUUUAAUUUUUAUAAACAUUUAUUUAUGAAUAAUUGAUCCGUUCCUAACGAUUAUAAAUUUAAGUUACUUUAGGGAUAACAGCGUAAUUUUUUUGGAGAGUUCAUAUCGAUAAAAAAGAUUGCGACCUCGAUGUUGGAUUAAGGAAUAACUUUAGGCGCAGCCGAUUAAAUAUUAAGUCUGUUCGACUUUUAAAUCCUU